GCGGGCAUGAUGAAAUUGGUAGACAUGCGAGAUUUAGGUUCUCGUGCUUCACGGCGUGCAGGUUCGAGUCCUGUUGCCCGCACCA
rnacentral:tRNA from 1 species